rnacentral:rRNA from 1 species
GCUUAUGGCCAUACCACCCUGAGAACGCCCGAUCUCGUCUGAUCUUGGAAGCUAAGCAGGGUCGGGUCUGGUUAGUACUUGGAUGGGAGACCGCCUGGGAAUACCAGGUGCUGUAAGCU